rnacentral:tRNA from 1 species
GCACGGAUAGCGAAGUGGUUAAACGCACGGGUCUGCAAAACCCGUCUCAUAAGAGUUCGAGAGUUCGAAUCUCUCUCUGUGCU